GACGAACGCUGGCGGCGUGCCUAAUACAUGCAAGUAGAACGCACAGUUUAUACCGUAGCUUGCUACACCAUAGACUGCGAGUUGCGAACGGGUGAGUAACGCGUAGGUAACCUGCCUGGUAGCGGGGGAUAACUAUUGGAAACGAUAGCUAAUACCGCAUAAUAUUAAUUAUUGCAUGAUAAUUAAUUGAAAGGUGCAAUUGCACCACUACCAGAUGGACCUGCGUUGUAUUAGCUAGUAGGUGAGGUAACGGCUCACCUAGGCGACGAUACAUAGCCGACCUGAGAGGGUGAUCGGCCACACUGGGACUGAGACACGGCCCAGACUCCUACGGGAGGCAGCAGUAGGGAAUCUUCGGCAAUGGACGAAAGUCUGACCGAGCAACGCCGCGUGAGUGAAGAAGGUUUUCGGAUCGUAAAGCUCUGUUGUAAGAGAAGAACGGGUGUGAGAGUGGAAAGUUCACACUGUGACGGUAGCUUACCAGAAAGGGACGGCUAACUACGUG
rnacentral:rRNA from 1 species